rnacentral:rRNA from 1 species
GGAUUGCCUUAGUAGCGGCGAGUGAAGCGGCAAAAGCUCAAAUUUGAAAUCUGGCUCUUUCAGAGUCCGAGUUGUAAUUUGAAGAAGGUAUCUUUGGGUCUGGCUCUUGUCUAUGUUUCUUGGAACAGAACGUCACAGAGGGUGAGAAUCCCGUGCGAUGAGAUGAUCCAGGCCUAUGUAAAGUUCCUUCGAAGAGUCGAGUUGUUUGGGAAUGCAGCUCUAAGUGGGUGGUAAAUUCCAUCUAAAGCUAAAUAUUGGCGAGAGACCGAUAGCGAACAAGUACAGUGAUGGAAAGAUGAAAAGAACUUUGAAAAGAGAGUGAAAAAGUACGUGAAAUUGUUGAAAGGGAAGGGCUUGAGAUCAGACUUGGUAUUUUGUAUGUUACUUCUUCGGGGGUGGCCUCUACAGUUUAUCGGGCCAGCAUCAGUUUGGGCGGUAGGAGAAUUGCGUUGGAAUGUGGCACGGCUUUGGUUGUGUGUUAUAGCCUUCGUCGAUACUGCCAGCCUAGACUGAGGACUGCGGUUUAUACCUAGGAUGUUGGCAUAAUGAUCUUAAGUCGCCCGUCUUGAAA